CCUACGGGAGGCUGCAGUGGGGAAUAUUGCACAAUGGGGGGAACCCUGAUGCAGCGACGCCGCGUGAGGGAAGAAGUAUUUCGGUAUGUAAAGCUCUAUCAGCAGGGAAGAAAAUGACGGUACCUGACUAAGAAGCCCCGGCUAACUACGUGCCAGCAGCCGCGGUAAUACGUAGGGGGCGAGCGUUAUCCGGAUUUACUGGGUGUAAAGGGGGCGUAGACGGUUAGGCAAGUCUGAAGUGAAAGCCCAAGGCUCAACCUUGGGACUGCUUUGGAAACUGUAGAACUGGAGUGCAGGAGCGGUAGGCGGAAUGCCUGGUGUAGCGGUGAAAUGCGUAGAUAUUAGGAGGAACACCGGUGGCGAAGGCAGCUUACUGGACUGUAACUGACGUUGAGGCUCGAAGGCGUGGGGAGCAAACAGGAUUAGAUACCCUGGUAGUC
rnacentral:rRNA from 1 species